AUACUUACCUGGAUAGGGUCAAUGGGUGAUCAAGAAGGCCCAUGGCCUAGAUUGGUGACUUUCAUUGCACUUAGGAGGGGUGCCCGUCUAAGGUCUAUCCAAGUGGUAGAGCCUAUGUCAUAAUUUGUGGCAGUGGGGGCUUGCGUUCGUGCGGCCCUUG